rnacentral:rRNA from 1 species
UACGUAGGGUGCAAGCGUUGUCCGGAAUUAUUGGGCGUAAAGAGCUCGUAGGCGGUCUGUCGCGUCUGCUGUGAAAACUCAGGGCUUAACCCUGAGCUUGCAGUGGGUACGGGCAGACUAGAGUGCGGUAGGGGAGACUGGAAUUCCUGGUGUAGCGGUGAAAUGCGCAGAUAUCAGGAGGAACACCGGUGGCGAAGGCGGGUCUCUGGGCCGUAACUGACGCUGAGGAGCGAAGGCCAGGGGGGCAAACGGG